AGAUGACAUCCAGUGUAUGUGCAAUGUGAAGGGUUCUCUGUCAGCUCUUACGUUCGGUGUGUUAAGUUCCCUUCUGGUUCCCACACUCUGUAUUCCCAUGUUCCUUCAUUCUGUGUUCUGUGUUCAUUCUUCUAACAUCCCUUCAAGCUCUGAUGCUGUUAGCUUUGUCAAGAGGCUUUGCUUCCAUUGGGGGCAGUUGCUGUCCAGGGUCCCUGGGACAGUGCUGUCCUGGUGAUGGCUUUGCCUCAUGACCCCAGUGGCUUCUGGCUGUCCCUGCAGGUUUUAAUGAGCCGUCACCAACUUUGUCAAGUACCUUGGUCUGUCUGAGGAAUUUUACCACGGAACCAAGUCUGGAACCUGUUCCGAUUGGGGAUGUGGAGAACAUGGGGGGCUGCCAUUUACAUACAGAAGUUGUGAGGCAUCCUUUGUCAUAGCUGCAAUCUUCCCAGCAAUUGUCACAAGAGUCAUUUCACCUUGACAAAUAUGGCCCAAGAUUAGGAAAGCCACGCCCUGUUAGAAUGAAUGAAAGGAGAGGAAAAAUGAAAAACAAUUUUUUUAGCCAACAAACCAAGUCAUCCAUGCAGUCUGGCCGUGCACUUGGCGUUCCAAACCCACAGUCACCUACCUCUGCAAAGGAAGGAAGGGGCGUUCAUCCAGAUGUUCUCCGGGGCCAGACUUGUCUAUCUCUCCCCUCCCGCUUUUCUUACCCAUCAAGCCCUCCCUCGUAACAAAGAAUCACAAAGAAAGAGGGACGGAAAAAG